rnacentral:rRNA from 1 species
GGCUUAGAGUUUGAUCCUGGCUCAGAUUGAACGCUGGCGGAAUGCUUUACACAUGCAAGUCGAACGGCAGCACGGGUGCUUGCACCUGGUGGCGAGUGGCGAACGGGUGAGUAACAUAUCGGAACGUACCCAGUAAUGGGGGAUAACUAACCGAAAGGUUAGCUAAUACCGCAUACGCCCUGAGGGGGAAAGCGGGGGAUCGAAAGACCUCGCGUUAUUGGAGCGGCCGAUAUCUGAUUAGCUAGUUGGUGGGGUAAAGGCCCACCAAGGCGACGAUCAGUAGCUGGUCUGAGAGGAUGAUCAGCCACACUGGAACUGAGACACGGUCCAGACUCCUACGGGAGGCAGCAGUGGGGAAUUUUGGACAAUGGGCGAAAGCCUGAUCCAGCCAUGCCGCGUGAGUGAAGAAGGCCUUCCGGGUUGUAAAGCUCUUUCAGCCGGAAAGAAAUUGCUUCUAUUAAU